CGUAGCCUACGGGGGGCAGCAGUGGGGAAUAUUGGGCAAUGGGGGGAACCCUGACCCAGCGACGCCGCGUGAGGGAAGAAGGUUUUCGGAUUGUAAACCUCUGUCCUUGGUGACGAUAAUGACGGUAGCCAAGGAGGAAGCCCCGGCUAACUACGUGCCAGCAGCCGCGGUAAUACGUAGGGGGCAAGCGUUAUCCGGAUUUACUGGGUGUAAAGGGAGCGUAGACGGCAGAGAAAGUCUGAAGUGAAAGCCCGCGGCUCAACCGCGGAACUGCUUUGGAAACUUUUCGGCUAGAGUACCGGAGA
rnacentral:rRNA from 1 species